rnacentral:rRNA from 1 species
AUUGAACGCUGGCGGCAUGCCUUACACAUGCAAGUCGAACGGCAGCACGGGAGCAAUCCUGGUGGCGAGUGGCGAACGGGUGAGUAAUAUAUCGGAACGUGCCCGGUCGUGGGGAUAACGUAGCGAAAGCUACGCUAAUACCGCAUACGAUCUACGGAUGAAAGCGGGGGAUCGCAAGACCUCGCGCGAUUGGAGCGGCCGAUAUCAGAUUAGGUAGUUGGUGAGGUAAAGGCUCACCAAGCCGACGAUCUGUAGCUGGUCUGAGAGGACGACCAGCCACACUGGGACUGAGACACGGCCCAGACUCCUACGGAGGCAGCAGUGGGAAUAUUGGACAAUGGGCGAAAGCCUGAUCCAGCAAUGCCGCGUGAGUGAU